AGAGUCGGUUAGGCAAUCGCUCUUUGUUCUUGAAGCAAAGAGAGGAAAGUCCGGGCUCCAUAGGGCAAGGUGCCAGGUAACGCCUGGGGGGUGUGAGCCCACGGAAAGUGCCACAGAAAAUAUACCGCCUGUCUGCUCUUGUAGCAGUGGGUAAGGGUGAAAUGGUGCGGUAAGAGCGCACCGCGCGAUUGGUAACAGUCGUGGCAGGGAAAACCCCACCUGGAGCAAGACCAAAUAGGAAUCCAUUUGAUCGAAAGGUCAUAAUGUGCGGCCCGCACGGGAUUCGGGUAGGUUGCUUGAGGCAUGCGGUGACGCAUGUCCCAGAUGAAUGAUUGCUCACGACAGAACCCGGCUUAUCGACCGACUCUUUUU
rfam:Legionella fallonii LLAP-10 genome assembly, chromosome: I